rnacentral:miRNA from 1 species
AUCGGUUCGUGCGUUCUGGA